rnacentral:rRNA from 1 species
UACAGAGGGGGCAAGCGUUGUUCGGAAUUACUGGGCGUAGAGGGCGCGUAGGCGGCCUUCUAAGUCGAACGUGAAAUCCCCGGGCUCAACCCGGGAACUGCGUCCGAUACUGGAAGGCUUGAAUCCGGGAGAGGGAUGCGGAAUUCCAGGUGUAGCGGUGAAAUGCGUAGAUAUCUGGAGGAACACCGGUGGCGAAGGCGGCAUCCUGGACCGGUAUUGACGCUGAGGCGCGAAAGCCAGGGGAGCAAACGGG